rnacentral:rRNA from 1 species
GAUGAACGCUAGCGGCAGGCUUAAUACAUGCAAGUCGAGGGGCAGCACGGGUAGCAAUAUCUGGUGGCGACCGGCGCACGGGUGCGUAACACGUAUGUAACCUACCUUAAACUGGGGAAUAGCCCCUUGAAAGAGGGAUUAAUACCCCAUAACACUGCGAGAAGGCAUCUUUUUGCAGUUAAAGUUCCGACGGUUUAAGAUGGACAUGCGCGACAUUAGCUAGUUGGUGAGGUAACGGCUCACCAAGGCUGUGAUGUCUAGGGGUUCUGAGAGGAAAAUCCCCCACACUGGUACUGAGACACGGACCAGACUCCUACGGGAGGCAGCAGUAAGGAAUAUUGGUCAAUGGGCGCAAGCCUGAACCAGCCAUGCCGCGUGCAGGAUGACGGCCCUAUGGGUUGUAAACUGCUUUUGUACGGGAAAAAACCCCUUUACGUGUAAAGGGCUGAUGGUACCGUAAGAAUAAGGAUCGGCUAACUCCGUGCCAGCCGCCGCAGUAACAC